CGCGGAGGGCGGAGCGGGGCGCAGGGUCGGUGCCAUUUUGGUGUCUGUGCGUCUCCAGGGGCUCUGCGGGGAAUAAAACGCGCGGGAUGUGUUCCUGGGGUUUUGGGUUACAAAAAAGUGCUCGUAAUCAAUACGGCUUCUGAUUUCUGAGGAGGUCACUGUGGUGUUCACGAAAAAUAACAUUGCUGAAGCUAACUUGGGUCUAAAAGUGGGGGUUUGAUAGUGAAAUAGCCGACCAGAGCGGCGUAGUGUGGCUGGCGCAAAGGAAUUAAAUUUCAGCAAGAACUUCUUGACGAGGUUCUGAAAUCUCCUUCUCUAGAGGAGACUACCUGAUUCAAAACCUGCCUGGGUGCAUUCCUGUGUCACCUGCUUUUGAUAACCCUGCCUUGGCCAGGGGGCUAGGCUAGAUGAUCUCCAGAAGCCCCUUCCAACCCUAAUGAUUACGUGAAUUCUUUGUGUGGAAAUGUGAUUUGUGCUAGAGAAUUAAAAUAUCUUAAAAAUG